rnacentral:rRNA from 1 species
GACGAACGCUGGCGGCGUGCUUAACACAUGCAAGUCGAACGGUAAGGCCCUUCGGGGUACACGAGUGGCGAACGGGUGAGUAACACGUGGGUGAUCUGCCCUGCACUUCGGGAUAAGCCUGGGAAACUGGGUCUAAUACCGGAUAGGACCACUGCCUGCAUGGGUGGUGGUGGAAAGCUUUUGCGGUGGGGGAUGGGCCCGCGGCCUAUCAGCUUGUUGGUGGGGUGAUGGCCUACCAAGGCGACGACGGGUAGCCGGCCUGGGAGGGGGACCGGCCACACUGGGACUGAGAUACGGCCCAGACUCCUACGGGAGGCAGCAGUGGGGAAUAUUGCACAAUGGGCGCAAGCCUGAUGCAGCGACGCCGCGUGAGGGAUGACGGCCUUCGGGUUGUAAACCUCUUUCAGCACCGACGAAGCGCAAGUGACGGUAGGUGCAGAAGAAGGACCGGCCAACUACGUGCCAGCCGCCGCCGUAA